UACGAAGGGGGCUAGCGUUGUUCGGAAUUACUGGGCGUAAAGCGCACGUAGGCGGAUUGUUAAGUGAGGGGUGAAAUCCCAGGGCUCAACCCUGGAACUGCCUCUCAUACUGGCAAUCUCGAGUUCGAGAGAGGAGAGUGGAAUUCCACGUGUAGCGGUGAAAUUCGUAGGUAUUCGGAGGAACACCAGUGGCGAAGGCGGCUCACUGGCCAGAUACUGACGCUGAGGUGCGAAAGUGUGGGGAGCAAACAGG
rnacentral:misc_RNA from 1 species